AUGGCGUGCUUCAGGUCCAGUUUCUAUGCCGACGAUGCGGCCCUUUUUAUCAACCCGCGGUCUCAAGAUAUCAAAGCUAUUCAGGCCAUCCUGAAUCUAUUUGCUCAUGCCUCGGGCCUAAGAGCAAAUAUCCAGAAGACUGUAGCGUAUCCUGUGGCAUGUGCUGGGAUUGAUCUGGGACCGCUGUUGGCUGACUUUGGUGGGAAGCUGGGAGCCUUCCCAUGCCAAUACCUUGGUUUGCCACUUGGUGUGAGAAGGCCAAAGAGAGUGGAAAUGCAACCCCUAAUUGAUAAGAUUGCGGGCAAGCUUGCCCCGAGGAGGGGUCGGAUGAUGAAUAGAGCUGGCAGAUUGGUGUAUACCAACUCAGUGGUCACGGCUACGGCUACCUUUUUCUUGACAGUGUUCUCCCCGGACAAAUGGUUAAUAAGAAAAGUGGAUAAGCUGAGAAAAAAAUUCCUUUGGGAGGCUGAGGACCGAUCGAUCGGUGGAAAGAGUCUUGUAAACUGGAGGCAGGUCUGCACGCCAAAGAAAUACGGUGGUUUAGGAAUCAAAAACAUCGAGUGUUUUAGCCGGGCGUUGAGGCUGAGAUAG
rnacentral:rRNA from 1 species